AUGGCGCCCGUGGCGGGCAGCAGCUUCUUCCAGGAAGCGCGGCUGCCGGAGCAGCGGGCCGUCGAGGGCGUCGCCUUCCCCGCGGUGCUCGUCCCGGCCGGCGGGCCCCCGGGGCCGGGGGAGGGGAGCCUCGACGAGUUCCUGGCGACCGUGCGGUCGGAGCGGGCGUCCCGGGUGGAGCCGCUGCUGCGGGAGGCAGGGGCGGUGCUGCUGCGCGGGUUCCCCGCGCGGACGGCGGCGGACUUCGACGCCGCCGUGGAGGCGUUCGGGUACGAGGAGCUUCCCUACGUCGGCGGCGCGGCGCCCCGGACCAACGUGGUGGGGCGGGUGUUCACCGCCAACGAGUCGCCGCCCGACCAGAAGAUCCCCUUCCACCAUGAGAUGGCGCAGGUUCCAACUUUUCCGGCGAAACUCUUCUUCUUCUGUGAGGUGGAACCAAAAAGUGGUGGAGAGACACCAAUAGUGCUGAGCCACUAUGUGUACAAGAGGAUGAAGGAAAACUUCCCUGAAUUUGUGGAGAAACUGGAGAAGCAUGGCCUGAUAUACACAAGGGUAUUGGGAGAGGGUGACGACCCAUCUUCUCCAAUCGGCCGUGGAUGGCAAUCCACAUUUCUCACUAAAGAUAAAGCCGUCGCCGAGGAAAGGGCUGUGAAGCUUGGGAUGAAGCUGGAAUGGACCGACAACGGGGUUAAAACAGUGAUGGGUCCGAUACCAGCAGUCAAGUGGGACGAGAGCCGAGGGAGGAAGAUAUGGUUCAACAGCAUGGUCGCCGCCUACACGGGUUGGAAGGACGCUCGUAACGAUCCAGUUAAGGCCGUCACCUUCGGCGAUGGCUCGCCCUUGCCCGCCGAUGUCAUAGAGGAAUGCGGCAAGAUCCUAGAAGAGGAAUGCGUCGCGGUCCCGUGGCAGCAAGGUGACAUCCUUCUCAUCGACAACUGGGCAGUGCUGCACUCACGACGGUCCUUUGAGCCCCCACGGCGCGUACUUGCUUCUCUCUGUAAAUAG
rnacentral:rRNA from 1 species